UACGGAGGGUGCGAGCGUUGUCCGGAAUCACUGGGCGUAAAGGGCGCGUAGGCGGCCUGAUAAGUAGGGGGUGAAAUCCUGCGGCUUAACCGCAGGGCUGCCUUCUAAACUGUCAGGCUAGAGCACAGUAGAGGCAGGUGGAAUUCCCGGUGUAGCGGUGGAAUGCGUAGAGAUCGGGAGGAACACCAGUGGCGAAGGCGGUUGCCUGGAGCUUUGCUGACGCUGAGGCGCGAAAGCGUGGGGAGCGAGUCCGG
rnacentral:rRNA from 1 species